CAAGUUCAUUGAAGUUGGAAGGUUAGACCUAGCGUUUUGGUUUUGCUUUCCAUAGCAAUAACCGGUUUACCCAAGAGCACACCAGAUCUGACUCUUCCAGCUCUUCGAACUUU
rnacentral:pre_miRNA from 1 species